rnacentral:rRNA from 1 species
CCUUGAGACUCCUACGGGAGGCAGCAGUGGGGAAUUUUGGACAAUGGGCGCAAGCCUGAUCCAGCCAUGCCGCGUGUCUGAAGAAGGCCUUCGGGUUGUAAAGGACUUUUGUCAGGGAAGAAAAGGACAGGGUUAAUACCUCUGUUUGAUGACGGUACCUGAAGAAUAAGCACCGGCUAACUACGUGCCAGCAGCCGCGGUAAUACGUAGGGUGCGAGCGUUAAUCGGAAUUACUGGGCGUAAAGCGAGCGCAGACGGUUACUUAAGCAGGAUGUGAAAUCCCCGGGCUCAACCUGGGAACUGCUGUCUGAACUGGAUGACUAGAGUGUGUCAGAGGGAGGUAGAAUUCCACGUGUAGCAGUGAAAUGCGUAGAGAUGUGGAGGAAUACCGAUGGCGAAGGCAGCCUCCUGGGAUAACACUGACGUUCAUGCUCGAAAGCGUGGGUAGCAAACAGGAUUAGAAACCCUUGUGUCC